UUCCAUCGAUCCUCGUUUCGAAUCUGUCCGAUAAUCAUUAUUAGAUCCUCCUAUAGUCAAUCCACCCUAACACACUAAUAAAAGCUUCAACUACUUGAUAUAUUGCUGGCUAGUGCUACACAUAAAGCCUCUUACCUUAUUUGAGAUCUUUUUUUCUAUUCAUCAUCCUCACCAAAGUCACCAUCACUCAGCACACCUAAACUGGAGUAAACUUUAAUUUCAAGCGUGUGGCCAAGUAUUUUGGAGGUUCGAAUAUUUUUUCCUGACCCAUUUGGAGGUAAAUCUCUGACUAUACACGUGUCCUCCCUGCUGAAGACUAGCGUUGCCGCUACCUCCUCAAUCUUCACCGGGAAGGGUGACGGGACUGCUCGGCUAUUCUUUGGAUCAACCGGAGACGGCGGACACCGAGGGCCGCUAUCAUGGGCAACGCUCAGUCACCGUCCGGCGACCCGCGCUUCGUCACGGCGACCCGGGCUUUUACUAAUCAGGAGCUGGAGGAUCUUAGAUCACUCUUUAUGUCCCUGGCCGCCCAAUCCCAGAGCCACGGCAAGUUCGUCAGCAAAUCCGUCUUCAAGACGUAUUUCGGGAUUGAUGGGUUGCUGGGCGAUAGGAUGUUUGAUUUAGUUACUCAGAAGCGUAAUGAUGGCAUGCUCGCUUUUGAGGAUCUCAUCGUAUCCAAAGGAACAUAUGAGAAAGGAACUCGAAUUGAAAUUGAGGAAUACAUACAUGAGCUGUGUGAUGUUACAGGGGAUGGUGUCUUGGGAAGGUCUGAUCUGGAAGCUGUUUUGAAGUCCAUACGUAAAGCUGUAUUUUCUCCAGAAAUUGAUGAAAAUGGCUUGAACUUGCAUGAAAAUGUUUUGGAAGUAUUUCUCAAUGCAGCAACAUUUUCAAAGAAAGGUGAAGAAACAGCAGAAAACAGUAUGUCUUCAACAGAUUUUAGAAAUUGGUGUAGCCUUCUUCCAUCUGUGAGGAAAUUUCUUGGAAGUUUGCUGAUGCCACCUGAUUCAGGCAGACCAGGUUUUCAAGUUCCACAUCUACAAUAUCCAGAAAAUUUAACAUCCGAUUUGCUAAUAUUAAGGAGAGAAUAUGCUUGGCACAUUGGAGGAGUCCUUUCUCAACAUGAGGUGGAGGAAUGGAAGCUUUUGUACCAUAGUUCAAUUAAUGGCUUAAGCUUCAAUACAUUCUUGGGAAAUAUAUCGAAUGGAGAUGGACCAACUGUGUUGAUUAUCAAAGAUGCUGAAGGUUUCAUAUAUGGAGGAUAUGCCUCUCAACCAUGGGAAAGGCAAAGCAAUUUUUAUGGUGAUAUGAAGUCCUGCCUCUUCCAGCUAUAUCCUCAAGCAUCCAUUUUCCACCCUACAGGAGCAAACAAUAAUUUGCAGUGGUUCGGAUAGCAUUCCCAAUGGCAUUGGCUUUGGUGGGCGGGCCAAUCACUUUGGUCUCUUUCUGUCUGCAAGCUUUGAUCAAGGGCACACGUUCCCCUGCACCACUUUCAACAGUCCUUGCCUCUCUAAGACAAACAGAAUACGACCAGAAGUAAUUGAAUGCUGGGGAGUCCUAUCGAAAGGAGUGCAAAAUGAAAGGCCAGAUCUUGUUAAAGGUACAGUUCUCGAGAGAUUUAAGGAGGACCGGAACAUGCUUAAGAUGGUAGGCCUGGCUAAUUCCAGCAACUGAAGAUUAUGCCAAGGGAGCAUCUUAUAAAGGAUGGUGGAUGGGGCUUACAGAUGCCACACCAACCGCUUCGGCUUUGAAGCAGAGGUUAUAGCAAUAUGAGGUGGAAAAGGUGGCGAUGAGCUAUUUGAUCCUGGAGGCUUUAUGAUUUAUGUUAGAGACUAAAGGGGAAGUCUACAUUGAUAAUUGCUAUAAUGACUGGUUACCAUGUAAUUUUGGAGAUUAUGACAGCUCAACAGGAUGGGGGAAGUUUAUGCUUUCUUGUUUCUUGUGCAUGUUUGUCUACUUGUCUGGUUAGUUGUAUUGCUGAUGUCUCUGUCUUGGGUGGUGGAUGCGAUCAGCCAAAUGUACCAUGGGAAACUGCUUGUAGGAGACAUAUAAUUGAAGUAGUGAGUUUGAGUUUCUUUUAUUA